rnacentral:piRNA from 1 species
UGGAAAACAGCCGAGCCACACAAGAGCUUA